UCCUUACUAGCUCUGUUGUCAGAGCAUGAGGCUCAUAAUCUCAGGGUAGUGGGUUCGUAUCCCAUGUUGGGCA
rnacentral:tRNA from 1 species